rnacentral:lncRNA from 1 species
UGGGAGGUCUUUGAGCAAUUCACCACCCAGGAACCCAAAACAAACUAGAUGAACUCUGCUUAAAACAAUAAGCCGAAGGUUUCUGUAUUGUAUUACCUCACCAGGCAAAAGUGACGAGAAGAAAUGGGAAUAUAAGAAGGAAAUAGGUAAACUUCCUAUGGUUACUUUCUCAUGACACAUUUCUCUUGAGCAUUCAUAGGUCAGCACUGUUUUAUAAUAACCUGCUUUUAAAAUAGCAUGACAGAAGCAUGUGUAAUUUGUGUUUAGUGACCUGAGAGCAAUCUUUCAGUAAAACAGUGUGGUUAAGUGCCUGCCAAGGCAACCCUUGGUCUGUAAUCCUCUAGGAAAUAAGGGUGGAGAGUAUUCCAGAAGUAUCCAUUGCUUUCUCUUGUUUAUUAUGGGAAAACCUAUUGCUUAAUGUGAAAUUUUUUCUCUGUCUCAGAAGCCCCACUCUACGUGCAAACCAUGAGGUUCGUAUUUUCUUGCUCAAAAAGAGGGAAACAAACUCUUUUCCUUUUGCCAAAGCAAAUUAGCAUUUAUGAGAUUUAUUUUCUUAUGUAUAGGUAGUAGCCCAGAACCACACCCUUCGCCAAAUCUGCUUCUUGCGUAGCAUGUCUCCAAUGUUAGAAUGAAAGAAAAAGUAGUGCUUGAAGAUAAAAUCUAUUAUCUUCUUCAAAAUACUCACACUGUGGCAGAAAUGGAUAUCAAGUUUCAGAACAAGGUGAAGGUCUGAAAAAAAUCAGGUUUUUUUUUUUCUCAUCAUCAUGACUGAACUAACCUUAAAUUCAACCAAUUUGACCUUCUGCCUGUCACCUAGCCUUCCUGUUCCUGCCUCUCCCUUCUAAUCUCCCUCCUUCCUUCCUUCCCAUGACAAAUAUUCAUUGAUGACCACUUACUCUGUGCCAGGUGGUUGUGCUAGGCUCCAAAGGUGAGAGAAAAAGAAUCCAAAAUGAAUGAAAAGUUUUCUCUCUUACAUUUCACUUUGUACACUCCUAAAAUUUAAGUUUCUUCUAACAAGUAAGUAUCACUUUCUUUAAGGUAUCCUAAAAGAACUUUUUUUUAAAUUGUUUUUAAUGUUUAUUUAUUUUUGAGACAGAGACAGACAGAGCAUGAACAGGGGAGGGUCAGAGAGAGAGGGAGACACAGAAUCCGAAACAGGCUCCAGGCUCUGAGUGGUCAGCACAGAACCCGACGCGGGGCUCGAACUCACGGACCGUGAGAUCAUGACCUGAGCUGAAGCCGGACGCUCAACCGACUGAGCCACCCAGGCGCCCCUAAAAGAACUUUUAUAAAAAGUAAUCAUGUCAUCAUAAAACAGAGCUUGACAAAUUUUUUCUGUGAGUCCAAACAGUAAAUAUUUUAGGCUUUGUAGGCCAUAUGGUGUCUACUUUGUGACAGCAGCCAUAGACAAUACUUAGAGAAAUAGGUGUGGCUAUGUUCCAAAAAAAACUUUAUUUACAAAAACAGGUCAUAGUCCAUUUUUCAUUUGCUGAACCCUGAUCUAAAAAAAUUGAGACAAGGUCCUGUACUCCAGGUAAACAUAACCUAGUGAUUUUUUUUCCAGUAACAUCAUGCAUGAGACAUAGUAAGCAUUAAAUUAAAUAUCAGAGCACACUGAUCUUAAGGAAAUUAUUAACCAUCUCUGGGCUUUAGCCCCUGAUUUGAAAAUUAUAAUGAAAACGUAAUUAGAUAUUCUUGAAUGUUCUUUCAACUCUGAAUUUUGCUUAUGUCUUAUCGUACACCAACCCCUAUCAUGCAGCCAAACUUAUCAAGAAUAAAGGUUGCUUGCUAAAAUUUCUCUGAGCAGUAUAUGCAGAGAACAGGUAUCUCUUGCCAUUGAUAGGAUCUAAAGUGUGGGAGCUGGCAAUCUGAGAAAAGCCAAUUACGAGUCCUGCUAAACAAAUAGAAAUAAGCCACAUUUCAUUUAAGAAGCAUUUUUAUAUACAUUUUCAUACAAUCCUCAUUACAAGUACAUUGGCUAGCAAAAAUAAAUAUUUCCUUCAUCUUUCAAAUAAGAAAAGAGAGGAUUAGAGAAAUUAAAUGAUUUGCCCAUUGUCUUAUAUCUAAUGCCUAGCCAGGCAGAACCUUAUUCCCAGCCAAGUCCUAAUUCAGAGCUCUUCAAACCAUGCCAGACUUCUUCCAAAAUACACACUUUGAAUUACUUAAAAAACUGCAAUAUGAAUGUGAAUUGUUGGAAUGGCAGCACAAAAAUGACUAGUGAAUUGCACCAAUAAAGGUAAGUGUUUUGUAAUAGAGUUCUAUGAAGCAGGGAAACAAAACACAAGACAAUAGAAACAACCUGUGAUGAAGAAGCCACCCACAGUGCCUACAGUACCUGCAGCCCACACCAAAAUACAAGUCUCACACACAAGGAUGAGGCAUGCAGGUCAAGGAGAGCUUUCCUGUUUAGCCCAUGAAGACAGAGACACCCCUUUUUUAUUUUCUGGAAGAAAGUAAAAUGAUAAAACUAUUAAUAUCUUCCUAAUUAAACAUCUUCAAAAUAAAAAUACAUUUACCAAUUGUACAUUUUUAAAAACAAUAUUUUUCUAUUAGUGGACUCAGAGCUUUGUUUAUUCCAGAUGACAACAAAAAGUAAAAAUACAUUUACAAAUUGUACAUUUUAAAAAUAAUUUUCUUCUUUUUGUGAACUUGGAGCUUUGUUUAUUCCAGAUGACAACAAAAAUGUCAAUUAUUUCCAAAAAACUGUAUUUUUCAUGAUUUAGUUUUCACUUGUUUCUUCAUGUUUUUCACACUCCAUCUGGUUCUAUGUAUUCAAUGUCCUUUUCCUUUUUGCCAAGUUCAAAAAAAAAAAAAGGCACAUGCACUACUCUGUGUCUUCAAAGCAUUUUACAAACACUACCAAAUUGGAAUUCUUUAUGGUUUAAAAUUAGCUCCUUCUUAUUUUUCUCAUGAGCCUCUAAAAUGCCUCAGCAAAUGGGUUUUCUUCUGUUGUUUCAAAAAAAUUGUUUACUUAAGUAAAUAUUAUUUGUAUGUCAUUCAGCAUGUAUUGGAACAUUUAUAUAGUCCAGGCUUUUAAGGAAAAAAAAGAUUAAGAAAUGGUAAAUUCUUGUUUUUAUUUUUCCUGUGAAGUUUAACAUUGGUUUACCACAUUCUAUGGGUCAAGCACUGUGUGGCUGCACUGUGUGUUGACAGAAAAGGAAGCAAAUCUCUACCUUUCAGGAAAUCAUGAUUGUGGAGCCGGUCACAUGAAUACCUUAUUUCACUAAAGGCAGACAGAUGAAUGCGAGCUAACAAUGAGGAUAUCGAGCACUAAUACUUACUAAGUCCUUAUUAUGUGCAAGGCAUUUUCUAACAGAUCCUCACACAAUUAACUCAAUUAAUACAACUACAGGAAACAACAAAGUACUCUGAAGUUAUGGUAUGGGAGAUAGAAAUUAAUUUCAACUGUUUGACUAAUUGGCCAAGUUCGUAGGCAUUUUAAAGGGUUCUCAAACCAUUUUUCUUUUAUUCCUUCACACAAUGGCCUUAUUAGCUAUGUUUAUGCCACAUUUUUCUUUUUCCCCCCAUUUAAAUGUAUAGUUCACUAAAAUCCCCUGCUAUGGGCUGAAUAGAGUCCUUGUCCAAAAUAUUCAUAUGGAAAUCCUAACCCCCAGUGAUUCUAUUUAGAGAUAGGGCCUUUAAAGAGGUAAUAACUUAAUCUGAGGUCAUUAAAGUGGGCACUUAUCCAACAUUAACAAGUGUCCUUAUAGGAAGAGAAUAUUUGGUCACAGACGGGUACAGAGGAAAGACCAUGGAACACGGAAGAUUGCUACCUACAAGCCAGGAAGAGAGACCUCAGAUGAAACUAGCUUUGCUGACACUUUGAUCUUUGCUUUGUAGCCUCCAGAACCAUGAGAAAAUAAAUUCGUAUUGUUUAGGCCACCCAAUCUGUGAUGCCCUGUUAAGGCAGGCUGAUCAGACUAAGUGUAUAUGUUUCUAACAUGACUUUUCAUCAUAUUUACUAUUUUAUUUAUGUCUUGUAUUUUUAAAUGUUUUUAUUUAUUAUUUUGAGAGAGGGAGAGAGAGAGCAAGCAGGGGAGGAGCAGAGAGAGAGGGAGACACAGAAUCCAAAGCAGACUCCAGGCUCCAAGCCAUCAGCACAGAGCCCAAAGUGGGGCUCGAACCCACAAACUGUGAGAUCAUGGCCUAAGCCGAAGUAGGACUUCUAACCUACUGAGCCACCCAGGCGCCCCUAUGUCUUGUAUUUUUGAAAUAACCCUUUGUAAAAAGGACAUAGCAUUUAAAAAUUAAAAUUGAAGGGAGGAAAACGAGACCGCAUAAUGGCAUUACCAGGCCAUCAAUACGUUAAGUGACCUUAACCCACUCCCAUGGAAAGGGCAGUUAGAGUCACAGGUGAUCUAGAUGUAUCAUCCCAGCCCUGAUGGUAGAAACAAAAGCUUAUUUGUCCUUUAAAAAGUGUAAAUAACAAAUAGAUAAAAUUCACACACCAUAAGAGAGCAUUUAUUUAAGAGUUGGGAAAAGAAACCAGAUGGUCUCCUGUCCUUUUCCACUCUCUAUUCUUAAUGGUAGUUCCUAUGAUUUUGAAGACUGUGUGCAUUUUUCUAAAACAUUACAAUUAGUUGUUAGAGUGGCACAGACCAGGAAAAUAAAUACUUUGAGAAAGAUUGUAUAGAACCCAAAAUCACAUAAACUAUUAGAAUUAUUUUUUAAUUCGGAGCACCUACUGGGGCAGGAGGGAGCGAUUAAAGGUCAUUCUUGUUUACCUUGGACUCUCAGGGUCUUCAAAUUAAACAUUCUCAUAGCCUAGAUUCUGAGAUUUGGGCCUGCAGAGAAAGUACAAAAUAUAUCUGCUUAGAAUUCAGAGGCUUCUUUGACGAAAAAUAUUAUUAAUAGAUAAUAUUAUACUGCUUAUUUUUUCUGUCAAGCCCCCCUGCUCACUAUGAACAACUACUGCUUCUUCUACCUCUUCCUUGGCAGAGGUUUCAACUCCUACCCUCUGUCCCUGAUAACUUACUUGCAAGGCACAGAAUACAGUACAGUUCUGAAACAUGCCCGAAAGGAAACACUGUGCAUGUGUGUGUGAGUGUGCAUGUGUGUGUGUACAUGUGUGCCUCUGUUGCUUUCACUUGCCUGGAACAUUUUAGCUCCUGUCCUCUCCUUUUUAAAAAUUUUCCUGGAGCAUACGUUUUUAAUUAUUAUUAAUUAUAAACUUUUUUGAGUUAUUAAAUAGACCAUAAAAGUACAAACAUUCAAAAUUUAUUUUUUUUAAUUUUUUAAUUUAUUUAUUCAUUCAAGUUAGUUAACAUACAAUGUAGUACUGGAAUCAGGAGUAGAACUCAAUGAUCAAUCACUUACAUAUAACACCAAGUGCUCAUCCCAACAAGUGUCCUUCUUAAUGCCCAUCACCCUUUACCCAUCCCCUCACCCACCUCCCCUACAACAACCCUCAGUCUGUUUUCUGUAUUUAAGAGUCUCGUGGUUUGCCUUCCCCUAGGUUCAUUUGUUUCUUAAAUUCCACAUAUGAGUGAAAUCAUAUGAUGUCUGUCUUUCUCUGCCUGACUUAUGUCACUUAGCAUAAUAUCCUCUAGCUCCAUCCACAUUGUUGCAAAUAGCAAGAUAUCAUUCUUUUUGAUUGCCGAGUAUAUGAUACACAUAUGUGUGUAUAUGUGUGUGUGUGUAUAUAUAUAUAUAUAUAUAUAUAUAUGUAAUACAUAUUCAUCAGAUGGUGGACAUUUGGGCUUUUUCCAUAAUUUGGCUAUUGUCGAUAGCACUGCUAUAAACACUGGGGUUGCAUGUGCCCCUUUGCAUCAGCAUUUUGUAUCCUUUGGAUAAACACCUAGUAGUGCAGUUGCUGGGUCGUAGGAUAAUUCUAUUUUCAAUUAUUUGAGGAACCUCUAUGCUGUUUCCAGAGUGGCUACACCAGUUUGCAUUCUCACCAACAGUGCAAAAGUAUUCCCUUUUCUCCUCAUCCUUGCCAACAUCUGUUGUUUCCUGAGUUAUUAAUUUUAGCCAUUCUGACAGGUAUGAGGUGGUAUCUCAUUGUGGUUUUGAUUUGUAUUUCUCUGGUGUUGAGUGACAUUGAACAUCUUUUCAUGUGUCUGUUAGCCAUCUGGAUGUCUUCCUUGGAAAAGUUUAUUCGUGUCUUCUGUCCAUUUAUUCACUGGAUUAUUUGUUUUUUGGGUGUUGAGUUUGAUAAGUUCUUUAUAGAUUUUGGAUACUAACCCUUUAUCUGAUAUGUCAUUUGCAAAUAUCUUCUCCCAUUCCGUUGAUUGCCUUUUAGUUUUGUUGAUUAUUUCCUUUGCUGUGUAGAAGUUUUUUAUCUUGAUGAGGUCCCAAUAGCUCAUUUUUGCUUUUAUUUCCCUUGCCUCUGGGGACAUGUCAAGUAAGAAGUUGCUGCAUCUGAGGUCAGAGGUUCCUGCCUGCUUUCUCCUCUAGGAUUUUGAUGGCUUCCUGUUUCACAUUUAUGGCUUUCUUCCAUUUUGAAUUCAUUCUUGUGUAUGGUGUAAGAAAGUGGUCCAGUUUCAUUCUUCUGCAUGUCUCUGCCCAGGUUUCUUAACACUAUUUGCUGAAGAGACUGUCUUUUUUCCAUUAGAUACUCUUUCCUGCUUUGUCAAAGAUUGGUUGGCCAUACAUUUCUGGGUCCAUUUCUGGGUUCUGUAUUUUGUUCCAUUGAUCAGUGUGUCUGUUUUUGUGCCAGUACCAUACUGUCUUGAUAAUUACAGCAUUGUAUUACAGCUUGAAGUCUGGAAUUGUGAUAUCUCCAGCUUUGGUUUUCUUUUUCAACAUUACUUUGGCUAUUCAGGUUUUUUUCUGAUUCCAUACAAAUUUUGGAAUUGUUUAUUCUAGCUCUGUGAAGAAUGCUGGAGUUGUUUUGCCAGGGAAUGCAUUGAAUGUGUAGAUUGCUCUGGGUAGUAUAGACAUUUUAACAAUAUUUGUUCUUCAAAUUCAUGAGCAUAGAAUGUUUUUCUUUGUGUUUUCUUCAAUUUCUUUCCAAAAAUUUCUACAGUUUUUGGUGUACAUAUUUUUAAAAAUUAAUUAUCUAUUUAAUCUAGAUUUACAAAUUUAUUGCUCUGAAGUUGAUUUUUUCCUAUAAUUUUUCAAUCUGUUAUGUAUUGUCCUUGUUUCCCUUUUCAUGUCUACAAUUAUAUGUACCUUUUUAUCUUGAUCAUAUUUACUAAAGUAUCAUAUUAAUCUUUUCAAAAUACUAUUUUUUGUUUUUAUUCAAUUUUUCAUUUUUUAUUUUCUAGUUAGUUGGUUUAUGCUUUCAUUUACAUUAAUCCUUUUUUUCUAUUCUGUUCAUUUUGUUCUGUUUUCCUAGAUUCUUGUCUUAAAAGCAUAGAUUAUUUAUUUUUAAUAGUCUUUUUAAAUAGAUACACUUGGAGCACCUGGGUGGCUCAGUCAGUUAAGCGUCCAACUUCGGCUCAGGUCAGAUCUCACAGUUCGUGAGUUUGAGGCUCUGUGCUGACAGCUGGUAACCUAUAGCCUGCUUCAGAUUCUGUCUCCAUCUCUCUGCCCCUACCCUGCUCACACUCAGUCUGUCUGUCUCUUUCUUUCUCUAUCUCUCAAAUAUAAAAAUAAAUAAAUAGAUAGAUAGAUAGAUACACUUAAGUUCAUACAUUUUCUUCUCAAUUUUGCUUCAUAUUCCAGUAGAUUUGUUAUAUAACACUUCACUUAUUUAUUUAGCUCUGAAUAGUUUACAAGUUCCAUAUUGAUUUGCACUUUAACCUCAUAGUUAUUUGGUUGUGUGUAUGUGUUUGUACACACGUAUGUGUUUAAUUUCCUCAUAUAUGGAGAUUUUUUGAGUAGCUGAAUUUCUUGUAAUUGUUGAUGAAUAAGUAAAUGCAGCCUGUAUAAUAUCACCUUUAUGGAAUUUGCUGACAUUUUCAUUGUGGUGUAACGCAUGAUAAAUUUUUGUGGCUGUAGUCUGUGUGCUUGAAAAUGAUAUUAGUUUUGCAUGCAUGGUACAGGCUUCUUUGUACAGCUACUCAGUCAGGCUGGUUAAGUGCAUUACACAACCCCUCCAUACCCCUUCUUAUUAGUGGGUGGUUUCUUGGUUGGUUUCUGUGAGAAGGAUGUUCAGCCUCUCACUGUGAUUAUGAAUUUGCCCACUUUACUCUGUAGGGCUAUCGGUGUUUGCUUUACAUAGUCCCCUUUGUGGUGCUCCAGCUAACCAACUUGUUGGUUGCCCACGCCUGUGGGCUGUAAUAUCUAUGACUGAGGUGAUGAAGCAGGCUUGCUCCUUCUCACGUUCAGUGACAGAAGUUCUCUUGCACAUUUUGCAUUCUUUUUCUUUCAGGAUUUCUUUAUAUGUUCUAGUUCCCUGAGAGUCUUUUCUUGGUUUUGAGCAUUACACAUGUAUAAAGUUGGUUUUUAGCUUUCAUAUGGAUUUGGUGAAAGAUGUGGAAGGAGAGGCUAAAUAAAGCAUUCGUUCACUUCAAUCCUUUCAAGAUCGAGUUCAAGAGUUACUCUAAAAUGCCUUUGAUGGCCUUUCUCUUCCAUUACUCCAGGCUCCCCUCUGAUCAUGCCACUCUUUGUCCCAACUUUGCAAUGCCACCAAUCUUGUUUCAGUUUCUCAACACAGAAAGCUGUUUCCAGACACAAGACUUUUUUACACGUUGAUUUUCUCUGCAUGGAAUUUCCAUUUGCUCUAUAAUUUACCUAUUAACCAUACCUAUCCUUCAGGAAUCGGGUUCAAUGGCACUUACUCAGAAACUUGCUGAAUAAUCUAAUAUAACUCAGUUCUACUUUCUUCCAGUACCUACACUUUUUUCAACAGUAUAUUUCAAAAUCUUAUUCUUUUUUAGAGAGAGACAGAGAGAGAGAGUGGGGGAGAGGGGCAGAGAGAGAGAAUCUUAAGCAGGCUCCAUGUUCACCAUUAAUGACCAACACAGGGCUCUAUCCCACAACCAAGCCGAAUCAAGAGUCAGACCUGAGCUGAAAUCGGAGUCAGAUGCUCAACCGACUGAGUCAUGCAGGCACCCCCCAAUCUCUGAUUGUUACUUGUUUAUUUCCUCUUCCCAAUUAGUUUCAAACCCUAAUUGUACAGAGACUAUAUCCAUUUGUUCCUCACUAUAUUCCUAUGCAGAGACAGGACCAGCAAUAUAGUAGGUAUCAGAAGAAUGUUUGUUGAACGAAUGAGUGCAUAUUGCCCUCAAAUAGUAGCACAUUUAAGAUUGAGGAAGGAUCACAAGCACUAAUAAAGUUAAAAUUCCACAUAGGAUGCAUUCCAUCUUAAAGAGAUGCACUUACUCUGAGAACUUAAAAAAAUCAUAAAAGCUACGAGUUAUAAAGUGCUAGGCAUUUUAUAUUCAUUAUAGCUAAUCUUUACAAUAACACUUACAUGUACAGGGGAGUAAAUUGAAGAUUUGGGAAAUUAACUAACUUAUUCAAGAUUGAGUUAUCCAUAAUAGCAGAGCUAGGAUUCAAAACCAGAUGUGUUUCUUUCUAAAACUUGUCCUUUCUUUACGUUAUCAUUCUAUGCACCAUUAGGUAACAUUUGGUAGUCUAAGAAAUAGUAUUAAUUUUAUUUUGAAAGCAAUUUAUUUUAAGGAAAUAAAGUGAUAUUUUCAGCUUUAAACCUAGAUAAGUAAGGCAAAUAUAAAAUGUGAUUAUCAAUUUAGACUCAAAAAAAUUUAAAUAGCUAAAUAAACACUCAAAGAUAUCCCUGCAGACUAGGUCUUUAGAUUCUUGGGGCAGAACCUCUCUAACAAAUUUUAUUGAGUUCAAUUUACCAAAGUGAAUAGGCAUGACCACAGGAUUUAAUGGGAAAAUAUAAGUACCAGUUUUUAUUUCUCCAUUAAGGCCAUGUGGAUGGGCUACAUUUAAUACUUUCCUCAGUCUAAACUGCCAUGCAUUAAAAUAACAGCUCAAGUCAAUUUGGGCCAGUUUUGUCACAUAAAGCUGAUAAACAUCUGAAUAAUUAGAUCAAAUAUCUGGAUGAUUGGUGACAUCCGUAAUUGAACUUUUGGAACACUUGAGUAUUCUAGAAACAAAAUAAGAGAUAGCUUUGCCUUACUCACUAAGACUAGAGUGAGAAAAUAAGUAGUUGUCUUUAAGACCUUUAUGCACCUGCCUAAUAUCCUAAAUGUGUCUCAUAAGGAGAUGAACAUGAUGUGUGUGUGUGUGUGUGUGUGUGUGUGAGAGAGAGAGAGAGAGAGAGACAGACAGAGACAGAGACAGAGAGAAAGAGUGUGUUUACAUUCUUAUCAUCCCUAGAGGGGAUUUGUUUAUUUAGUUUCUGCAGCUGAAUAUUAAAACAAAAAUGAAGAGAACAACUUGGAAAGAUUUUUAUAAAAAAAAUAGAUUCACUCCACCCUUAUUACAGCAUUAUUUUUACUUAGCAAGCUUUAUAAUAGUUUUGCAAUAGAAGCAAUAAAGAAAAGGUAUAAAAAUCUAGAACCUAAUAAAUUACAAAAUUUCAGAAAGAAAAACCUCAGUAAUGUUUAAAAUAUCAAUAUAAAAUAUACCCACUAAGAAAAAUAUGAGAUGACAAAACCUUUGAAAUAAACACAUAAAAGGAGAAACUGAAAUACCUUUGAGUGUCUCAUGUAAAACCCAACACCUCAAUUACUACAAUAAAAUAUACCAAAAAGCUUACAAUAUAAGAAUUAGCAAUUGUCUUAACUUAAUUUUCCUCAUAUUGAAUUAAAAUAACUUAUAUUUUGUUUUCCUAAAAUACUGCUUUUGUAAAUUUAUUUCAUUCAUCUAUUUGAAUUUUAUUCACUUUUGAAGGUAUUCAUUCCCAGUAUAAAGAAGACCCCUGUAUCUUCCCUAUGUGGGGCAUAUAUGAAUAGUAUUCAUUAGGUUUGUUGGAAACAAAUAGAAACAAGCAUAAAAUGGCAAUUAAGAUCAUGGGUCUGCAGCUAAAUAUUUAUCUAUUUAAAUCAUGCAAAUAUUUAAAUAUUUAUCUAUAAAUAUUUAAUAUUUAUUAAUUUAUAAUUUAUAAUUUAAUAAAUUUAUAAUUUAUAAAUUUAUAAAAAUUUAUAAAAAUUAUAAAAUAAUUUAUAUUUAUAAAUUAUAUUUAUAAAUAUAUUUAUAUUUAUAAUUUAUAUUUAUAAAUAUAUAUUAUAUAUAUAUUAUUAUUAUAUAUAUAUAAUAUAUAUAAUAUUAUAUAUUAUAUAUUAUAUAUAUAUAUUAAUUAUAUAUAUAUAAAUUUAUAAAUAAUUUAUAAUUUAAUAAAUAUUAAAUAUUUAUCUAUUUAAAACAUGCAAAAGACAUAUAAUCCAUGCAUAAAAGAUGCCUCUAAUUUCUUUUUGGAGAGUUUCUUUCUAUCAGAAAAGUUAGUUAAUCCAUCUGUGCCUCUGUGUGCCUCACUGACAAAUAAAAAUAACGAUAUAACAAUAACACAAUAAGGUCAUUUAGAAAUUAAAUUAGGUAGUAUACACGAAGCAAUAGCACCUGACAGUGAGAAAAUGCACAAAGCCAUCAGGAAGGAAAAUAAUUCACUGGUGUAUUUCUAGUAAUAGUUUUGUAAAUUGGGCUUUAUAAACAUAUACUGAAAGUUCCAGUGUACGUAGAGCCAUCUCUUUCACAGAGACAAGAAUGGAAGGAAUUUAAGCAAAAGACCACAAGGAAGAAGAUGCAAGGAAUAAAGAACAGGAAAUGGUAUUUUUUUCUGUAGUGCUAAGGGCAAAAAAAAAAAAAAAAAAAAAGGAAAAAACACUAAUCUUUGUGAUGUGCUGCCCUGAACAUUUUACAAACUUGAUCUUCAUGCCUUGAUAUCUUGUUUUUCCCCCACACUUAUGUCAUGAAACUCAAUGAUCAUUACAAAUCAACCCUUUCUCUGGUUUCAUCUUCAAUGUCCCCCUCUCCUUGUUUCCCAUUCAGUAUUUGACAAAAUAGUUUGACCUCCACCUCUCUCCAUUCCUUUUGCUUAGAGAGUAUGACAGCAUAUGGAUUUUUUUCCUUUAUUCAUUUCUCCUCCCACUCUUCUUUCUCCUUGCAUGGUAUUUUUUUUCUUUCUUCCGCACCGCUUCUUGGACAUUUUCCAAGGUUUUUUUACACUAGAUAAAUGCAAUACUGUGAAACACCAACCCCAGUAUCUGAUAUAUGAAAAGUGGUCAACAAAUGUAAGUUCCCUUUGUUCCCUGACACUUCUUUUCCUAGUGAUGUCAUCAGUGUUCCUGACUUCAGUAAUCAUUUCCAUAUAGAUGAGGCUUAAAUUUCUGUUUUCUACUGACUUCUCUCCUCAGAUCUACUUUUCUGUUCCUACCUACCUGCUGAAUGACCGGCUAUUAAUCUCAAUUCUUCCUUUCCCUGCUCGUCCACAUAUCACUACCCCCAACUUCUGCGCAAAUCCUCCAACUUUUUAUUGUCCGGGUCAUUUAUUUUGAUCAUUCUCAAAAUAUCAGAGAUAACUUUCUUUGUUCUCACUUUUAAAAGUCACUGGGUCUUAGAGGAUCUAUAUUCAAAAUAUCUAACACACUCAUGUCCUUUUCUAAAUUCUCAAUAUCACCUUACUAGUUUGACUCUAAGCAUUCACACUCAGGCAAUUUAACAGACUGAAGAACAUCUCAUUCCAAAUCUCUACUCCCAAUAAUUUGUUGUCACUAAUGAUACAUUAAUCUUUCUAUAAACGUGCCUGGAGUAUUUAUUUGAUUAUGAUAAUUUUUUAAAAAAAACACUUUAAACAUUCUCCCAUAUUCAAACUCAAUACCUUUUGUAGUAGUUAUCAAUUUAUGUUUGUAGACUUAUCUCUAAUGAUUUUAAUUCUUACUCUGUGUUAUAGCAAAGCUACAUGACUAAGAGCUCCCUGCUUCUGCCUUGUCCUUUCUUACCCUGUCUUCUUCCACAUGAGAUUUUUUCCCCCACAGUCAUUGCUGAUUGUCAUUGAACCUAUAAUGUAAGACUCAGAGUAUGUAUCAUUUUCUUAAAUGAGUGACCCUAUUCAAUUCUAAGGCUUCAACAACAGGAAACAUAUAUAACACAGCUUUUUGUUGUUUAAAGUCUCUACCGUAAUGCUCUGCAUCUUGUAAGUAAAAUAUAUCUGAUGAGUGUAGGGACAUAUUUGUCCUUAAGCAUAUAUGUACGCUAUCACUGUGUUCUAGAAUAAAGCCCUUCGAGAGAAGGGGCUUUUUCUUAUAUUUCAUGUUUCGUUUCUCCACAGUUCCCAGAAUAUUCCAUAAACACCUAAAAGAAGGGAAAUAAAUGUGAUUUUAUUUUGGUUGUUGGUUUUGAAGAGAGCAGAUAGUUAUAUCUCUCAGAUUGAAAUAUGAAAUAACCACUAGCGUGGUCAGAAGGAGCCAUUUCCAGAGGCCUAAUUUGAAUGAUCAGAAAUGCAAUUUCAGCAACAGGAGCAGGAACCACUGUAACCACAACCAGAUUGGAGCAAAAUAUGAUAGGUCUUGCCCUCAAAAAAACUCAGCACUUGUGAUUAAAAAAAAAAAAAAUCUAAAUAGGCCAAUAAGAGAAAUGGUUGGAGAGGAGAAAAGAGUCACUUAGUGCUGCUGAUGACUUCUUCAUCAGCGGAUGGAAUGUGGGGGAUUCUGAACUGCAGCUAGUGCUGAUAGGGGCUUAAAUAUUCAUGUCAGCCUUUCAAGAAGGGAUCCACUAAUACUUCCCCCCCAUAAUUUUAGAGAUGAAUACAAGUAAGUAAACAGGAAAGAAGAUUUCCAUUUUCUGGCACACUGAAUACAAAUGCUGUCUCUGUGUUUUGAUAGCAAUCUAGGGAAAUGUCUCCACUCGCUCUUAUCUUGGUGAUAAGAAGCUUUUAUGAGGUGAUUGACAAUUCAUUUUUUUAGGAUUUAUUUUUUCCAUUUUCUUCCCUUUUUAUUCUCCUUGGGUAUUUAGUCCCUGACCAGUUCUACACAAAUAACAGGUUGAGAAAUAGUUUAUUAAAUAGGAGUUUUAGCAAAAAAAAAAAUAAGUCCUAAACUCAAAUCCCCAGCUCCUCCUUUAGGAUAACAUAACUAUAAACAAAAUAAAAAAUAAAUACAAACAAAAAUUACAGUAGCUUCUAUUUGUUGAACACUUACUCUGCAACAGCCACUAUGUGAGAACUGUGUUUUAUUUAUUUUUUCUCCUUUACUCUUUAUAACAAUCAGGCUUGUGAGGCAAGAAACUUAAGCUUCAGAAAAGCUUUGGUUCCAAUAUUGUGACUGCAGAGCCUGUGUUCCUCAUCCCUGUGGUUUGUCCCUCUGGCUGUACACUGCUGUACCUUAAUUAACCUCUAUGAACUUCAAUCACAUUGGUAAGCAGGGUCUAGCCAUAAGUCCUACUGUAAUCCUCAAUUUUGUGCAUAUUUUACUCCAUUAGAGAAUUAUUUACUUCACUCUGUACUGAUUAGACCUGGACUGUAUUUGAUACUCAUGAGCAAUAACAAAAGUAAAAUGAAAUGCAAGUUAUUGGCUCCUCUAAAAAGGUUACUUAAGUAAAAAUUUGGAGUACUUAAUUUUAAUCAAAACUUGCAAAGACCAUAUAAAUAUUAUAGUAAUGUGUACUCACAAAGAAAAAUUUUCCUUUGGGAAAGGUAAAUGGUUAAUUAGAGAUAUUUAGUUAGCUAUAAUUUGAAUCCUAAGAAUUACUAAAACUGUGUAUGUGAUAGUUAAUGUUGACUUUUCUUGGCCUAUGUGCCAAGAUAUCUGGUCAAAUAUCAUUCUGAAUGUCUCUGUGAGGGUAUCUUUGGAUGGAAUUACAUUCAGAUUGUCCACCAUUAGGUGGGUGGGCCUCAUCCAAUCAGUUGAAGGCUUGAAUAGAAAAUGUCAAACUACUCUAGCAAGAAAGAAUUCUCUAUCAGAUUGUCCUCCUGGUUCUACAGGACUUGAAUUGCAACUAUUUCCUGAGUUUCCAGCCUGCUGUCCUUCCCUAUCAGAUUUUAGACUCACCAAACCUCCAGUCAUAAUAAAAAUCUCUCUCUCUCUAGCUCUGUUUCUGAAUCUAUUUCUCUCUCUCCUGUUGGUUCUGUCUCUCUGGGGAACUGUUCUCAGUAUAUUCUGUUAGAGCAAUACCAUUUAUACUUGAGGAUAAGUUUCAUCACUAUUUUGAAAUUUUGAAAUUUCUGCAUUACCAUCAAAAUGUUGAGAUGAUACUGGUCAUUGAAAGAACAGAAAGAAAGAAAGAGACAAAAUGAGAGCUGUUAGAUGCAGAAAAGAUUGCAUUUUUAAGGACCAUUUAAGUAGUUCAAGUUAUUCAAAUUCUGGUUAAUGGUGACAAAGGAGUUUCCAUCAAAUAUAAAAAGAGUGAUUAAUACACUUCUGUCAUUUGCUACUUUUUAUGAGAUCAAAGUUCUUUACAGAUUGGUAACUAUCAAGAUUUCAGAGAGGUGGUCAUUUAAGUUUUUGAUUAGAAAUUUGGUGAAGACACUUCAAACACAAGUUCUAAAAUAAAAGUUAUAUCCACGUUUGCAAAUUCAAAUUCCUUAGCUGGAAAAAAUUGAAAAAUGUUUUAUUUGAAAGUAUAACACAAAACUAUUUAGUUUCUUUCCUAACACUCUGUAUUUUACUUUUUACUGUAAUUAUAUGACCUAAAAAUGUAAUUUUUUUAAAAAUCAAGAUCAACGUAGACUCCCCAACACCCUCUCCAAUUUAUCCCUGUAAGUCACAUAAAUAUUAUGAUUUGUGAUGUGUCAUAAUAUGAAAAAAGUUGGAAGCACUGUUGAAAAGAAAAAAAUAGAACUGGAUUUUUUUCUAAUGGCAAUAAUCAUUAAACUUUAUAAAACCAAAGGGCAUUAGAGAUUCUGUUCAUCAAAUUGCACCUACGUGGCUUUGCAUUCUGUAGCAGGAAGUAGUUUAGAUAUUCUUCAGACUUUAAAAGCUUUCAGAUAGGAUUGCCUCCUUGCAAUGAACAAGAAAAGGCAAGACUAGACAAAUGGAAACUAUUUGGAAAGUUGUUGCAAUAAGCCAGGAGCGAGAUGAUGUAGUCUGAAUAAAGAUAGUGACCAUGGUGAUAGAGAAAAGCAGGAAGCUUUGGGAGAUAUUUAUUAAUUAGAAUCAAUAGAAUUUUGUAUUGAUUUGAUGGGAGGAGUCAUGAAGAAGGAGGGGGGAAAUCAAGGUUUCUGGCUUGAGUACUACAAAUUGGCAACAGUCCCUAUAAAGAGAAGUCUGUUACCGGAAUAUGGGGUAGAACUACAUUGUCACUAGUCCUUACCCUCUUCAUCCUCAAGUGUCUGGUUCUCUCAAAGACACUAAGGAACACAAGAAGACUGUCAGCUCUUUGACAUUUUCUUCACUGAUCAGAAAAAGAAUGGAAUAACUUUUACCUUCUUCACAAAGUCCCACAGGUCUUUCCAGAAUUCUGGAUCAGGUAAAGACUUUAAAACUAUGAGACCUAGGGGCGCCUGGGUGGUUCUGUUGGUUAAGCGUCCAACUUCUGCUCAGGUCAUGAUCUCACAGUUCAUGAGUUCAGAGCCUGGGGCCUGACAGCUCAGAGCCUGGAGCCUGCUUCAGAUUCUGUCUCCCUCUCUCUCUCUGCCCUUCCUCUGCUCGUGUUGUUUCUCUCUCUCUCUCUCAAAAAUAAAUAAACAUUAAAAACAAAUUAAAAAAAACUAUCAGACCUAACUUUAAGCAAUUAUAAGGUGCCUCCUGAUAAAAACUUUCUUUCACUUAAGUGAGAGCUUACUCUUUAAUUAUUACCACCAACCCCCACUGCAAUCUGUAUUGCUAUCUUUUGUUUUUAUUCAGUUAAGGAAAUGGAGAGAUCCACUGUAGUCUUGAGUGAUUUUCUGCUUCAGGAAGGCAAAGAUACCAACUAGGCAGUAAGAAGUAAAUCAGAACACAUUCAAGAUGACAGCAGCCUUGUAAACCACUUGAUGUACCUUCUUUAAUCUAUAGGCAGGAAAACUGUGGCCCCGGGGGUGAGGUACAAUGGGCUGAGACCAGGGAAAGAUACAGAGCAGACUACAAAAGAUUACUAGAAACAUAAAUGUAAAUGAAUUAAUGAGUCAAAUCAAUUUUUCCAUCUCAACUACAAUAUUUCACCAAAACUCAGGAUGCUGUCAGUUGUAAAGCAUGGGGGAAGAAAACCUACCAAUUAAACUAUGACAAAAUACUAAGUAGCAUCAUUGUAGGAUACAUCCCAAUUCGAGAUUUGUUAGUAUUAAAAAUAUAUGUGUCUUAGAAUUGAUGAGCUCCAAAAGCAAAGCUCCCAAAAAUCCUACGAUAGUGAGCAGCAGUUCUAACCUACUUUUAAAAGUUAAGAUUCCUUGGAACACUAAGAUACACAAUGAGAAAUUUUAUACAUGGCCAGCCCCCCUCCAGGAUUUGGUCCUGCCACAGCUGAAUCAGGAAAGAAAGAAACAAAGUGAGAGAAACAGAAAGAGAGAGGAAGGGGGAGGAGGAGAGAGGAGGAACAGAUUAUAGAAUGGAGGAACAGAUUAUACACAACUUUAUUCUCUAAAAAUUCUUAUUUUUCUUGUAUUAUAGAGAAAUGGACUCACAAUUCUGUGUUUGGGCUCAUUCAUAACUUUGUUACAAGAAAAAAUUAUAAUAAUGUAUAGUUAUUUAUUCACAUGCAAUGACUAUAAACUAUAGUUUGGAAAGGGUCACAAACCACAGAAGUUCUGCCUUCUGCUUUAUUUCAAAGCUUAUAGCAUCAUUUGGGACAAGACUAAGUAACUCUGGAAACACUUAGACGGUAUAAAAUGCACACUUUUAUUUUGUAAGCAUUCGUUACAUGAGUCAUUAGAUAAAUUUCUUCUUCUAAGUAAAUUUAUCAAAUUAUUAUUAAGUCAUAAAAUUUUAAGCCAAAAAUGAAUAAAGAAAGCACAUGCUCUAAAUUAGAGGAAGGAGGAAAUAAGAAGGUAUGGGGUGUGGUGAAAUGCAUAACCAUGUAAAUGUUAUCCAGCUUUCUUAAAUUGGAUUUUUUUUUCUUUUGAGGUUAGAUUCUUGCAUAAUAUGUAUGGAAUAACUUUUUCAGGAGUGUAAUUAGAAAUGCAGUAUGAAAACCCACCUUCUUGCAACAUGGCAUUACUUACUCCUAAGAAAAAUAACAUAAUAUCAAAGCAUAUGUUUCACUUUAAGUUGCCAGAUCACUUGAAAGUUUUUUUCUAACAGACUUAAUAUGGCUGGGAAAAGCGUACUUCAGAUUUGACAUAAGAGAUUAUCAUACAUCUACUCAUCAUGUUGUACCUAGGUGGCCUUUGAGUUUCAAUGCUGAGUGUUUCAAUGCUGAGAAGUAGUCUUCUUAUAUUUCAGAGUUUAAGAGCUUUUAGAAACAGCAAUCUCGCUGAAUUCUUGAAAGAACAUGUUAUACACUUAGAAAAUUAUACGGAUUUUUGAAAAUUUUUAUUUUAAAUUUAUUUAAUCUAAAAAAAUAGUUCACCCAUUUUCCCCACCCCCACCCCACCUUUUACAUACACCAAUCUGUUUUCCCUAUCUAUAAGUCUGGUCCCCCCCACCCCAGAUUCCACAUAUAGGAGAUAUACAGUAUUUGUCUUUUUUUUUUUUUUACAGUAUUUGUCUUUAUCAGACUUAUUUCACUUAGCAUAAUGCCCUUAAGGUCCAUCUGUGUUGUCAAAAAUGGCAAGAUUUCUUUCUUUUUUAUGACUGAAUAAUAUUACAUUAUAUAUGUAUACUAUACACGUAUAUAUAUACCACAUCUUCUUUAUCCAUUCAUCCAUUGAUAGAUACUUAGAUUGUUUCUAUUUCUUGGCUAAUGCAAAUAAUGCUGCAUUGAACAUGGGGUGCAUAUAUCUUUUCAAAUUAACAUUUUUGUUUUCUUUGCAUAAUUAUCCAGAAGGGGGAUUGCUGGAUAAAUGGUAGCUCUACUUUUAAUUUUUUGAGAAAACUCCAUACUUUUUUCCAUAGUGGUUGCACCAGUUUACAUUCCCACCAACAGUGCACAAGGUUUCUCCUUUCUCCAUAUCUUCACCAAUACUUGGCAUUUCUUGUCUUUUGAUACUAGCCAUUCUAAUAGGUAUGAUGCAAUAUUUCAUUGUGAUUUUGAUUUGGCCGUCCUUGAUGAUUCCUGAGGUUGAGCAUCUUUUCAUGUACCCAUUGGCCAUAUGUAUGUCUUCUUAGGAACACUGUCUAUUUAGAUUUUCUAUCCAUUUUUAAGUCAGAUUAUUGACUUUUUUGCUAUUCUGAGUUCUUUGUAUAUUUUGGAUAUUAACCCCUUAUCAGAUUUAUGAUGUGCAAUUAUUUUCUAUCAUUCACUAGGUUGCCUUUUUAUUUUUGUUGAUGGCUUUCUUUGCUGCCCAGAAGCCUUUUAGUUUCAAGUAGGCCCACUUGUUUAUUUUUACUUUUAUUGCUUUUGUUUUCAGCAGAUCCAAAAAUAUCACUGCCAAAACCUAUGUCAAAGGGGCUUUUCACCUAUGUUUUCUUCCAGGAUUUUUAUAGUUUCAGGUCUUACAUUCAUGUUUUUUUGUUUUUUUUUUAAAUUUUUUUUCAACGUUUAUUUAUUUUUUGGGGGGACAGAGAGAGACAAAGCAUGAACAGGGGAGGGGCAGAGAGAGAGGGAGACACAGAAUCGGAAACAGGCUCCAGGCUCUGAGCCAUCAGCCCAGAGCCUGAUGCGGGGCUCGAACUCACGGACCGCGAGAUGGUGACCUGGCUGAAGUCGGACGCUUAACCGACUGCGCCACCCAGGCGCCCCAUUACAUUCAUGUUUUUAAUACAUGAGUUAACUUUUGAAAUGGGUAACAGUCCAAUUUCAUUCUUUCACAUGUGGCUGUCCAAUUUUUCCAACAUCAUUUACUGAGAAGACUGUCUUUUCAUCAUUAUACAUUAUUGCAUCUGUUAUCAUGAAUUAAUUGACCGUAUAUACAUGAGUUUACACCUGGGCUUUCUAUUCUUUUCCACUGAUCUGUGUGCCUGUUUUUAUGCUAAUAUUGGUUUUUUUUUUAAUUAUUAUUAUGGGUUGUAAUAUAGUUCGAAAUCAAGGAGUAUGAUGUCUCCUGCAUUGCUCUUUUUUCAUAAGACUUCUUUGGCUAUUCAAAUACUUUGUGGUUUCACAAAAAUUUUAAGAUUAUUUGUUCUAUUUCUGUGAAACAUAGCAUUGAAAUACUGAUAGGGAGUGCAUUAAAUCUAUAGAUUUCUUUGGAAGUAUGGAUAUUUUAACAAUAUUAAUUCUUCUAUUCCAUGAGCAUGCAAUAUCUUUCCCAUUAUUUGUGUAUUCCUCAAUUUCUUUCAAUAAUGUCUUAUAAUUUUCAAUACGCAGGUCUUCUCCUUUGUUAGAUAAGCUUAUUCCUAGGUAUUUUAUUCUUGUUAAAGCAAUUAUAAAUGAAUUGUUUUCUUAAUUUCUUUUUCUUGUGGUUUGGUAUCAGUGUAAAGAAAUGCAAUAGAUUUUUGCGUAUUGAUUUUGUAUCCUGUAGCUUUACUGAAUUUAUUAGCUCUAACAGAUUUAAAAAAAAUUAUUUAUUCUUGAGAGAGAGAGAGAGAGAGAGAGAGAGAGAAAGAUUAUGAGCAGGGAAGGGGCAGAGAGAGGGAGACACAGAAUCUGAAGCCGGCUACAGGUUACCAGCUGUCAGCACAGAGCCUGAUGUGGGGCUUGAACUCACAAACCUCAAGAUCAUGACCUGAGCUGAAGUCGGACACCUAACUGUAUUAUACUACAGUAUUAUACAGUUAUGUAAGGUAUAACCAUUGGGGGAACUGAGUGAAGGGUACAUGAUACUUCUCUAUUCUAUCUUUGCAACUUCCUGUGACUCUAACUUUUCUAUAUCUAUAUCUAUAUGAGAAUCAAUGAGUAAUGGUGAUGGACAAGGUUGAAACAUGUUCAGUAGUUAAUGACAUUUGAGUUUGUGUGUAUGUGUGUGUGUGAUCACACUUAAUUUAUUUGGCUAUUUUAAUUAACUUCAAAAAAGGGAAUGAGAUUUUUUAUCCCUACUGAAAGGGACAUGUGCUGAAAAGUUGAGGAACACACUUCCCAUUUUAUAGAACCAUAGUACCAAGUGCAGUUUUUUUCCAGUCUACAAGGCGGAGUGGAGGUGGAGCACAGAUUGUUGCAGUGCACAGAGCUGGUGACCGGGAGUUACAGUGAGGAAGGCUGAACCACAGUGAGUUAAGCUAAGCCACACUGGUCUCCUGGCUGUGCUUCUUAGGUCAUCUUGGUCACUAGUAGAAUAUUGUUGCACACUAUCAUACUGCUCCUUUCAUGUAUGGGACUAAUACUUCUGGAAGAAUAUUUUUAAGUUAACUCUACCCCCAAUGUGGGGUUCCAACUCACAACCCCGAGAUCAAGAGUCGCAUGAUCCACCAACUUAGCCAGCAAAGCACCCUUAAAAGAAGUUCAUUAAAGUAAAUUCAAUUCCUUUGCAAGUAUUCAAUUGAAAUAAAUUAAAAUCUUAAGUAGAGAAUUGUAACUACCAAAAUGAUCUUCAGCACCUACUACACAGUUCACUUCACAUUCAGGGCUGCGGACAGUGCUCCUGAGCUUUGUCCUCAUGAAGCUUAUCAAAAAACACAGAAUAUGAGGGGCACCUGGGUGGCUCAGUCGGUGGAUCGUCCAACGUCAGCUCAGGUCAUGAUCUCACAGUUUGCGACUUUGAGCCCCACAUUGGGCUCUGUGUGGGCAGUUCAGAGCCUGGAGUCUGCUUCAAAUUCUGUGUCUCCCUCUCUCUCUGCCCCUCCCCCACUCAUAUUCUGUCUCUUUCUCAAAAAUAAAUAUUCAAGAAAUUAAAAAAAACAACAACACAGAAUAUGAUGGAAAUGAAGACGAAGGUCUAGACAUGUACAAAUGCAAUUAAGCACCUUUGGCCUGAUGCAAAGUGUAUAAUAGACCUGAAGCAAGAAGAAGAAAUAUUUCUUCAUAUAUAAAGGUACUUCUGAAAUUAUGUAUUGACAAUUAGAAGAUAAAAGUGAAAAUAUAAAAAAAUUACAUCGACAUAUAGAAAAGAGCAUCAACGGGUUUUGCAAAAGGCUUGUAAGACAUAGUUGUUGUUUUUUUUUUACAUCUAAGCUUAUGAAGUUAUUUUAUACAUGUUUGAAGAGAAAUAUAAAACUUAUUUUUAGGCCAAAUGUUCAUGAACAAAAAAGUUUAGUAAACCAGGUAUUAGAAUUUGGGCUGGAAAUAUUAAUGUUAUUUUAGUUUCUGUGAGUGAUUUCCAGGACCACUUUGACAAGUUAAGGAUGAUAGUAAGGAAUAACUACAAAUUAUUACAGGUUUUAUGACAUAAUUGAUAGUGUUUUCCAAACUUAAAGCCUAAGCCAUGUAUCUAAGAGUGCCAGAUAAGUCUCUCACUUUAUUUCAAAGUCCUUCAUAGUAGUGCUUUAAAGGAUCUUAUAGCAGUAGACUCAGUAGUUAAAAUUCAUACUCUCUGUGUCACACUUACGAGGCAGAAAAUAAUUCAUGGCUAGACAUCCCAAAUUUCGAGUCAGGUUCUUUCCAGACACAUCUGUGCACCAAAUGAAAAUGCAAAGCAUUUCAUUGCAUAGUACAUCAUUUGAUUGGGGAAUAAAUGGAAGAUUUAUUGCUAAUAGUUUUUUUUGCUGUUCACAUUUAAAUACAUAAGAUAAAAUGGAAAGGAAGUUCUGGUUUGGUACUGCUUUCAUUACAAUUGCCAAAAGCAGUGAUCUAUAGUUCCCCCCAAAAAAAGAAGAAGAAGAAGAAGAAGGAGUCAUCACUCCUUCAGCUAAUAGUAGAUAAACAUUUAAAAUGUUUAUCUUAGGGGCACCUGGGUGGCUCAGUCGCUUAAGCAUCCGACUUUGGCUCAGGUCAUGAUCUCACAGUUGAUGGGUUUGAGCCCUGCCUCAGGCUCUGUGCUGACAGUUCAGAGCCUGGAGCCUGCUUCAGAUUCUCUCCCUCUCUCUGUCCCUCCCCCACUUGCUCUCUCUUUCUCUCUCUCUUUCUCUCAAGAAUAAACAUUUUUAAAAAAGAAAUUAAAAUUUUUAUCUUAAAAAUGAACACUCUUACAUGAGUAUAUGUCUUUCCCAGUGAACUUUCUCUUAUUCUGUAUACUAACCAUCCUUGCUGUUGAGUAGAAAACUUGCAAAAUUUCUCCUACAUACCUUAAUCUUUACCACCAUUUAAAGAGAAGAAGAGGGGCUCCUGGGUGGCUCAGGCAGUUAAGCAUCUGACUUCAGUUCAGAUCAUGAUCUCAUGGAUUGUCAGUUCAGGCCCCAUGUAGGGCUCUGUGCUGACAGCUCAGAGCCUGGAGCCUGCUUCGGAAUCUGUGUCUCCCUUUCUCUCUACCCCUCCCCUGCUCACAUUCUCUCUUUCUCUCUCUCCCUCAAAAAACAAAAACAAAAACAAAAAAAAAAAACAAAAAAAAAACAUUAAAAAAACUAAAGAGAAGAAGAAAUUGUGAUAAUAGCUUAAUCUAGCAAGUUUGAAACAAAUCCACCAGAAUAAGUGUAAAGUGUAAGAUAAUUAAAAAUUACAUUGAGUAAAGAAAGGAAAAAUAUUGUCUGUUCUGAAAUUUAAGACAAGAUGGGAAAUGACUUUUUAAAGCUUUUGAUUUUGAAAAGUUAUAGAGAAACAGGAAGUUGCAAAGAUAGAAUAGAGAAGUAUCAUGUACCCUUCACUCAGUUCCCCCAAUGGUUAUAACUUACAUAACUGUAGUAUAAUAUGAAAACCAGAAAAAUUGACAUGAGCACAAUGUGUGUGUAGUUCUAUAACAUUUAAUCACAUGUGUAGAUUUGUGUAAUGACCACCAUCAUCAAGACACAGAACUAUGCCAUCACCACAAAGAUCUCUUUCUCUUGCUAUCCUUUUAUAGCACCCUUCUGCCACCAUCCAUAAUCUCUGACAACCACUAAUUUGUUCUCCACCUCUAUAAUUUUGUCAUCUCAAGAAUGUUAUAUAAAUGGAAUCAUACAGUAUGUGAUACUUAGAGAUUGGGGUUUCUUCUUCUUCUUCUUCUUCUUCUUCUUCUUCUUCUUCUUCUCACUCAGCAUGAUGCCCUCAAGAUUCAUCCAAAUUGUUGCAUUAUGAAUAGUUCAUUCCUUUUUAUUAGAACAAAUAUGCAGAAUUGCCAGUGCUGGUUGUAUGAUAAGAGUAUGUUUAGUUUUUAAGAAAACUAAGCUGCUUUCCGGACUGGCUGUACAUUCUCACUAGUAAUUGUGCAAGAUCCAGUUUCUCUGUAUCCCCUCCUGCAUUUGGUAUUGUCACUAUUUGUACUGUAACUGUACAAAUAGAUGUGUGGUUAUAUCUCAUCAGGGUCUUAAACUGCAUUUCCCUAAUGCUAAUGAUUUUUAACACCUUUUCAUGCAUUUAUUUCCAUCUGUAUAUUUCAUCAAAAGGCCUAAGUCUAUUUAUUUUAAUGUAUUCAUAGACACCAAAUGAUAUUACACAAUACCAAGUAAUUUCUUCAAAUAGUAAAUGUCGUUAUUAAUCAAAAAGGCUAAUUUUCUGACUAAGGCUCCUUUGUGACAUAAUCCAAGGUAUUGUAUAGAAUAAAAUUACAGUGCAUAUACCAUCCUAUAAUUAAUAAACAUUAAUUAAAGUUUAAAAAUACUUUCAAAGCAGUAAAAAAGUACAAAAAUAUAAUAUCCCCAAACAAAAUGAAUCAAAGAAAAUAAUCAAAUACUCAAUGUUUUCAAAAUAAUUUAAAAACAGUACAUAAGCUUAUAAUUGUAGGAGAACAAAGGAAAGGCUUAUAAUGAUGCUUUGUCUGAAAAAAAAGCAUUUGUACAGAAUGAUAUGAUAUAAUGUACAUAUUCAUAAUAAUCAGAAGGUGAGAAAGGAUAUUAUUUAAUAUAUAUUUCUAAAUAGGAUUAUUUUUUAAGUAGCUUUCUUUACACUUGUUUUUACUUUUUAUUAACAACACAAGGAAAGCUACCAGAAGUCUUGGUAUUGAAUGAUAAGUAGACUUAUCACAGGGGAAAUAAAUGUCGACAUGAUAGUUAUUGAAGCUAUAUUUUGUUUUUGUUUUUUUUGUUUUUUUUGUUUUUUUUUCAAUAUAUGAAAUUUAUUGUCAAAUUGGUUUCCAUACAACACCCAGUGCUCAUCCCAAAAGGUGCCCUCCUCGAUACCCAUCACCCACCCUCCCCUCCCUCCCACCCCCAUCAACCCUCAGUUUGUUCUCAGUUUUUAAGAGUCUCUUAUGCUUUGGCUCUCUCCCACUCUAACCUCUUUUUUUUUUUCCUUCCCCUCCCCCAUGGGUUUCUGUUAAGUUUCUCAGGAUCCACAUAAGAGUGAAAACAUAUGGUAUCUGUCUUUCUCUGUAUGGCUUAUUUCACUUAGCAUCACACUCUCCAGUUCCAUCCACGUUGCUACAAAGGGCCAUAUUUCAUUCUUUCUCAUUGCCACGUAGUACUCCAUUGUGUAUAUAAACCACAAUUUCUUUAUCCAUUCAUCAGUUGAUGGACAUUUAGGCUCUUUCCAUAAUUUGGCUAUUGUUGAGAGUGCUGCUAUAAACAUUGGGGUACAAGUGCCCCUAUGCAUCAGUACUCCUGUAUCCCUUGGGUAAAUUCCUAGCAGUGCUAUUGCUGGGUCAUAGGGUAGGUCUAUUUUUAAUUUUNUUUGCAUUCCCACCAACAGUGCAAGAGGGUUCCCGUUUCUCCACAUCCUCUCCAGCAUCUAUAGUCUCCUGAUUUGUUCAUUUUGGCCACUCUGACUGGCGUGAGGUGAUAUCUGAGUGUGGUUUUGAUUUGUAUUUCCCUGAUAAGGAGCGCCGUUGAGCAUCUUUUCAUGUGCCUGUUGGCCAUCCGGAUGCCUUCUUUAGAGAAGUGUCUAUUCAUGUUUUCUGCCUAUUUCUUCACUGGGUUAUUUAUUUUUUGGGUGUGGAGUUUGGUGAGCUCUUUAUAGAUUUUGGAUACUAGCCCUUUGUCCGAUAUGUCAUUUGCAAAUAUCUUUUCCCAUUCCGUUGGUUGCCUUUUAGUUUUGUUGAUUGUUUCCUUUGCUGUGCAGAAGCUUUUUAUCUUCAUAAGGUCCCAGUAAUUCAUUUUUGCUUUUAAUUCCCUUGCCUUUGGGGAUGUGUUGAGUAAGAGAUUGCUACGGCUGAGGUCAGAGAGGUUGAAGCUAUAUUUUGAAUGCAGUUGAUAAUUCUCCUGAAUUAUUGAAUUUACUUGGGUGAAAAUAUUCAUUCUACCAACAUUUAUUAAGCACCAACUGUAUACCUUUAUUAAGCAAGUACUGUGUAAGGCUCUUGGAAUUCAUUGGAAAUAAAUAUUCUCUGAUUUUAAGAGUCUUAAAAUAUAGUAGGGAGAAACAGAAUUACAAAAAGCUUAAGUGCACUAAUAUUUCCUUGAAAUGCUAAAAGAAAAAGGAAUGAGAUCUUAUGGUCCAAGAUAGUUAACUCUCUGAACUUACAAUAAAACUAUUCUGAAUACUUAUUUGAUAGAAUUUACUUACAUAGCACUUUAAUUUCUAAUUUAUUUUCACUUAGAAAUUUCAAAUUCAUGAAAAUUACAUAGAAAAAUGGGAGAGAGAUGAAAAGAUGAGAGUUGAUAACAACUUUCUGUACCUAAUAGUUAUGAAUUGUAUUAUUUAUUUUCGCUCUAUUAAUUAAUCCAAAAGGUUUGAUUUGGUUCUGGCUAAUGGAAAUGCUAUGUAUAUCUGUUGUAUACUAUAAAUAUUUACAUAUUUCCAUUAUUUAAUAAUUAAAUACUGUAUAAAUUCCAGACUGUACAUGUGAGCUAAUAUAGUCACACAUUAAAAUGUGACAUAGUAUUCUAAUAUUAGAAUUCAUGUAUGAGAAUAUGAAUGGUCAUUUCUCAUAAAUUUGAUAGUGUUUCCCAGAACUGAAGACUCCAAGAAAAAAAAAAAAGUACAUGCAUAAAGUACUCUCUAUAGACCUGGAGGGAUUUUACAAGAAAAUAAUGGGAAGAAUUGUUUCCAAUUCCACUCAGGACUGAAUAAGAGACAUGAAAGAAAAGACGCUAUUUGGAUAGAAGAUUUCUUAAAUGCUUCAAAUUUGAAAGGGAUAGACGAAGUGUGUUAAAAAUAUCCACCACCUGAAAAAUACCCGAAAUAGAAUUUUCCUUUUAUAGGUCUAAUUAGCCAGGAAAAUGGGCUGGAUUCCUUCUUAAGGUCACUCUAACCUCUAAGGAAUCUAUGUCUUCUCUUCAAUAAGAACAGAGCCUCCUUCUCUCUUACCUCCAUCCUGAUCAGGCAACGUAAUUGGCAUUCUGUGAUUGCUUUCUUAAUGCUAAUACCACAAUAAACAGUGCCAUCUACUGACUAAAUUCUAUAAUUGACUACCUCUCAGAAUAGUAAAUACUCAUAUUUGUUAUCUAUGUUUACAUGAGUCACGUGUUAUAUUGUACUUAUUUAAAGCUACCAGGAAUGUAUAUAUCCUCUAUCUUGAUCUUCCUGUUUUUUGUUUUUGUUUUACAGAUGAGAAGGUUGAGAUCCAAAAAGAUCAAUCAAUUUGCCCAAAAUUUUGACAGGCGUUUUUCAGUGAGCACCACCAUGAACUAAACCCUGGGAAUAGAAAGAAAUUUGACACUUUGGAGGUGGAAAUCAAUCUGUAAAGUUGUCCAUCCAUUGGGGAAAAUAUGUGACAAAUAUGAUUAAUGACAAAAGUAUGAAAUCCAUAUAGCAAGGCAAGUUGAGAAAUAGCUGAUGUAAAGUUUUAGGAGAAGGAAAUGCUCACAUGUAGUUUUAAGUUAAAAAAAUGAAAGAGGAAAUACUAAAUUAAGGUUAUUUUGUUCUUCUCUUUUUAACAGAAGGUUGAAACUAUUUGUGGAUUGUUACAGAAGCUUGAUUUGUUCUCAAAAAUGUAUGAUAUAUAAAAUCAACUCAUUUUGCUUUAAG